AGUGAACGCUGGCGGUAGGCCUAACACAUGCCAGUCGAACGGCAGCACAGUAAGAGCUUGCUCUUACGGGUGGCGAGUGGCGGACGGGUGAGGAAUACAUCGGAAUCUACUUUUUCGUGGGGGAUAACGUAGGGAAACUUACGCUAAUACCGCAUACGACCUACGGGUGAAAGCAGGGGAUCUUCGGACCUUGCGCGAUUGAAUGAGCCGAUGUCGGAUUAGCUAGUUGGCGGGGUAAAGGCCCACCAAGGCGACGAUCCGUAGCUGGUCUGAGAGGAUGAUGAGCCACACUGGAACUGAGACACGGUCCAGACUCCUACGGGAGGCAGCAGUGGGGAAUAUUGGACAAUGGGCGCAAGCCUGAUCCAGCCAUACCGCGUGGGUGAAGAAGGCCUUCGGGUUGUAAAGCCCUUUUGUUGGGAAAGAAAAGCAGCAGGUUAAUACCCCGCUGUUCUGACGGUACCCAAAGAAUAAGCACCGGCUAACUUCGUG
rnacentral:rRNA from 1 species